rnacentral:rRNA from 1 species
GACGAACGCUGGCGGCGUGCUUAACACAUGCAAGUCGAGCGGUAAGGCCCUUUCGGGGGUACACGAGCGGCGAACGGGUGAGUAACACGUGGGUGACCUGCCCUUAGCUCUGGGAUAAGCCUGGGAAACUGGGUCUAAUACCGGAUAUGACUCCAUAACGCAUGUUGUGGGGUGGAAAGCCUUGUGCGGCUAGGGAUGGGCCCGCGGCCUAUCAGCUUGUUGGCGGGGUGAUGGCCACCAAGGCGACGACGGUAGCCGGCCUGAGAGGGCGACCGGCCACACUGGGACUGAGACACGGCCCAGACUCCUACGGGAGGCAGCAGUGGGGAAUCUUGCGCAAUGGGCGAAAGCCUGACGCAGCGACGCCGCGUGGGGA